rnacentral:tRNA from 1 species
GGCCCGUUCGUCUAUCGGUUAGGACUCCAGGUUUUCAACCUGGCAAGAGGGGUUCAACUCCCCUACGGGUCA